CAACUAGUACUAUUCAAAAAUAAUCAAUAAAAUAUUUUAUUUUCUCAUAAAAUAAAUUUUUAUAGAAAUAUUCGUAAAUAGUUUUUCGCACAUGAAAGUAAAGUAAAUAUUGUAUGAAUAGAAAUACAGAUAACCAAAAUAUAAGUUUUGAUCUGCAAUGACACGUGGGCCCUAAUUGACCAAGAGGAUGUAAGACUGUGAACUCUUACUUUCUAUAAUGCAGUUCCGAGCUUAGUUCUCGUCCUACUCGAUUAUCUACAAACUAUCUUGAGCCUGAAAAAUGUAUAGGAAGAAGGGGUGAGAUUUUAUAAUCCCAGUGAGUAAACAGAUACCAUCUAAAGUAUCUAAAGCCGAGUAAAUGGAGACAAUUAAAAUAAGUCAUCAUACUGUAAUUUCAUUACCUUUCAGUUCAUUUCAACCAAAUAAAAUCAAUCCAUAUAAAUCGAGUAAUCAACUUGGCUUAUGAAUUUCUUAAAACUUUGGCUCGUGCCAAAACUCAUACUCGGUGAUACCUUGCGCAGGGCAUCUAACCGAGUCCGCCAAGGCUGUUAAAAUUUUGUAUACACUUAAAAUAUAUUUUUAGUUUGAGAAAAAUACAGCCGUUCCUUGGCGUUGGCUGAGUUCCCCUUCACGUGGUGGUUUGGCGUGAAGUGAACCCUAAGCUUUACCCCAGGAGAUACCCUACGCGCCUCUCCGUUCGAGGUAAUAAUAUAAUGGAGUUUACCGUGCCCCUCUAAUAGGCUGGUCCACGGAACCCCCUCUGCAGUAAAUAAUUAAUAUAUAAUCCACCAAUCAAUAAAAUUCAUUCUAGCAUGACAUGGCAAUUUAUCGCAACCUAGCCUCUCAAGGCUGAAUACACAGUAUAAAUAAUUAUAACACCAAAAUCAGUUUAGCCAUUCAUGCUCAUUUAUUGUCAUAAGCCAUUCAAUUCAAAACCAUAAAUUUGCAACACAAACUAGCAGUCUCCAAUUACUCUAUUUUCAAAACCAAUAUUCGAUUUUCCAGAAAAUUUAUAAAAUCAUUUUAUAAAAUCACAAUUUCUCUUAAAACAUAGCAAUUUACCAUUUAAACCCAUUUUUCAUAAAAUCACACAGUUGUAUAAAACUACUCUAGAUAAUUAAGACGAUAAUAAGUUUACUCACAGUUUUAGGAGUAGAAAUACUCCUAUCUUCCGCCCUCGGGUGCAGUCUCUUACCCGAAACAAUUGACUCACCACCUAUCCAUAAUCCAUGACACAAAAUUCAAUAAAUUGUGUCAAUUUAUCAUAAAUUAUUUCAGGCUCUUAUCCAUGCGUAUGCACUAGAUAGGAUUUGAAAUGUCUAGACAAUCGCUUAAUUGCGGUGUCCGACCUAACUCGCCUAUACACGGUGUAAAUUCCUAAAAUCCCCAAUUCGACUCCAAUUCCAUCCAUUUCAAUUUCAAUUAUCCAAUUAUAUCCACAAUACCUCAAUGACUGUGAAUUUGGUCCAAUUUAUCAGUCCGGACUAUAAAUUACGCUUUUACCCCUAGUGGGUAAAAAUUUCAAUUUAUUGCACCGAAAAUUCCCAUUUAAUUUCCAACCUCAUAAUUCAUCAUUUUUCCACCCAAUUCUCUUAAAAUAAAGUCAACCUCAUCCUCACAUACCAUUGGCUAGAUUCGGCCUAGGGAAAUUCAUGGAGAAGAUAAAUAUUUUUCUUGUUGUUUUACUCAUAAACAUGCUAAACUAACACUAAACACUAACAUAGCUCAAAAUCAAAUUUAUCUAACAACUUUCUCUCUCUAAACCCAUAUGACCAGAAUUCAAAUCAUCCUCAAAUCACAUGAUUCAACCAUGAAAAAUGAUGGAAAAUGCAUGGGAAAGGUAAAGCACAAGACAAAUUUAAGAAAUGUUACCUUUUUUCACUUGAUUUUUGAAUUUCCACCUAUUUUCCCUUUAAAUUUCUUAGCUAGGGUUUUAU
rnacentral:lncRNA from 1 species